rnacentral:lncRNA from 10 species
AAUUAUUUAUUUAUUUACUCAACAAAUAUUUACUGAUCACACAAGGCCAAGUGUAGGAGAUACAGUAAUGAAAAGGUCUGGGCCCUCCCUGCCUAGUUGAAUUUACAGUAUAGUGGGGAGGGGCAUUAAGAAAUUACCAAUAAUUAUGAUAUUGCCAUAAUGAAAGUAUACACAAAACGCAGCAGCACAAUCUGGGAAACAGCACCCAAGUCAUUCUCUGAAAGCCAAAGAAGUUUUUGAAGAGAUUAUAAGAGUUGAGUGGGAAUAUGGACAACAAAGAGUUUGAUUGUUGCUUGUAAUGGGGAAUAUUUUCCAGGAAAAGGGAAGAGAUGUGUCAGAGAUCAACUGGGUACAUCAGGAGUCAAGGCAAAAAAUUACAAACCAUUAAAUGAAUCUGGAGUAAAGUUUCUUACCUUGGGUGCUAUUAACAUUUGGAGCCAGGUAAUCAUAGUUUUAGGGGUUGUCAUGCAGAUGGUGGGAUGUUUAGCAAACAUCGCUGACUUUUACUCACCAGAUACUAGUGACUGUAGCAUCCUUUUCCAUCCCCUCACUGUGACAAUCAACAAUGUCUCCAUGUCUAUUGCCAAGUGUUCCUGAGCAGAGUGACACAGUCUCCUGCAGUUGAGGAUCAUUGAUCUAGAGCAUUGAUUACAACGGAAGGCGUCUAAAGGAUGAGGCAAAAGUGAAAGCCAGAUUAUGGUUGUAUGUUUUUCCUGUAAGCCACCACAAACCUUUUGUGCAAUGAGAUAGGUGAUGAAUAAAGCAUGGAUGAAUCCACGCAUUAGAUGAGUAUGUGAAGUGGAUAUGGAGAGCACAUAAGAACCAAGAGCAGACAGAGCCCUAAGGAAAGACCUGGCUGACCUGCCGGAAGGAAAAUAGGUAUUAGGAAUCCUGAAAACCAUACUUCAGAGGAUUAUGUAUCAAGAAAGUUGGGGUCUAGGUGAGAGUCUUGUGAUUUGGUUGAAUUAAAAUUAAUGCAGCACUUCCAGCCCUGCAGUCAUUCAGGAGUCCCCAACUUACUACCAGUGGGAGCCAGGUUGAGAACACACAGACCUCCCAGCCAGCUGUCUCUGUAUCUACAGAGUUGAACUGGACUUAGUUUUUGUAUGAUAUCUCUUGAAUGAACAAACUUGGAUAUUAUGGGGAAAAACUAUGUUUUGAUUUUAUAAAUGUUGUUAUUGAUAGGUGACAGGGAGGUAAUAACUGCUUAUUAGCAUUUAAUGUGUCUGAUCAUUCAAUUAAUCUUGUAGAAAUUACUCUUAGACUUUCAACAACAUGUAACUAUAAGCACAUAUCAUUUGUUUCAAUUUAAUACAGUGGCUGAAAAGGAUAUCUAAGAAUUGUUUGUACCUCUGGGCAUAUCUUAGUGAGAGACUUCUCAUAGCAUUUGUUUAAACCUUAUGAAAACUGUAUUUAGUCAUGGACUGACAUGAAUUGUUCAUUGGAUUCAUUAGGGAUUAUAUCUAAGAUAAGAUUUAUUGCAUUUAUAAUAAAAUGUGUGAAUGAAGAA